UACGUAGGGGGCAAGCGUUGUCCGGAAUCAUUGGGCGUAAAGGGCUCGUAGGCGGCCAACUAAGUCAGACGUGAAAUCCCUCAGCUUAACUGGGGAACUGCGUCUGAUACUGGAUGGCUUGGAUUCGGGAGAGGAAUGCGGAAUUCCAGGUGUAGCGGUGAAAUGCGUAGAUAUCUGGAGGAACACCGGUGGCGAAGGCGGCAUUCUGGACCGAUAUUGACGCUGAGGCGCGAAAGCCAGGGGAGCAAACGGG
rnacentral:rRNA from 1 species